UACGUAGUGGGCAAGCGUUGUCCGGAUUUAUUGGGCGUAAAGAGCGUGUAGGCGGCCAAAUAGGUCGGUUGUGAAAACUGGAGGCUUAACCUCCAGACGUCGACCGAAACCAUCUGGCUAGAGUCCGGAAGAGGAGAGUGGAAUUCCUGGUGUAGCGGUGAAAUGCGCAGAUAUCAGGAAGAACACCCGUGGCGAAGGCGGCUCUCUGGGACGGUACUGACGCUGAGACGCGAAAGCGUGGGGAGCGAACAGG
rnacentral:rRNA from 1 species